AAAAAAGUUCUCUCUCCUCCCACCAGCGGCCUCGAUCUGGGAUCGCCAGGGACGCCGUCGCCGCCGCGGAUCCCACGGCGCCACCUCGCCACCACUGGUCGCCAUGGCGCGGUGUCACCCCACCGCCACCUCAGCCAAGCGCCGCGCCGCCCCUCCAAACCCUAGCCCGCCCCCUCCGCCCGCCGACGGAUCGCUUCCGCUCCUCCACGCAGUGAGCCGCGGCGACUUCCGCCUCUUCAAGAGGCUGGUGAGAGAUCUGGAUCAGGGCAGGGGCCGUCCCAGGGAGGUCGUGGAGGCGGCCAAGGACCAAGGUCUCGUGGCGCUGCACUUCGCUGCCGGGAAGGGAAGGCCACGGGUGUGCAGGUACCUGGUCGAGGAGCCAGGGAGAGGAGAAAUUAACGCACGAUCCCCUGUAAUCACGCAUCUCCUGUAAUCACGCACAAAACUAACGCACGAUCCCCACGCUCCCUUCCCAUCGCCACCACGGGAACAGGAGCCGCCGCGCCCCCAGCCUCGUGCCGCCCGCCGCUCGGCCUGCAUCUCCUCCCUCGAGAAGCGGCGGCGCGGAACCAGAGUGGUCGGUCUGCGUCAGUGGCGGCAAGGUCCGUCUCCUCCCUCGACCAGCGGCGGCGGACCAGGAUGCAGCGGGCGGCCACAGACGCGGCGGUGGAUGCAGGCCACGGCAGAGGAGCUGUGCGUGGCGGCCCUUGUGGCGCGGGCGCGAUGGUGCCGUGGCAGCUGCGCGGCGGAGGGCGUGUGCGUGAAGGCUGCGCGUUCCUCCGGCUUCCGGCGUGCCGCGGCAUGGAAGGCUUGGAGUGCGAGACGGAGGGCAGCCUAUGGAGUGCCGUGGGGGUGCAGCUGGCUAUGAGGUCAGGAGAGGCGGCUAGGAAGACGGUCGCCUCCAUGACACAGACGUCGCUCUCCGCAUCACACAGUUUGUCCUCUGUCUUCCUCCAGAUCUUGUUUUCUUGACAUCUACAGUCUAGAUCGAAGGAAGAUUCGCUUCUUUGCCAAUUCUCCAUGCCAUUCACUCAUCUUACAUCUUACAAUAAAAGCUUACUUUGAACUCCUUAUGAUCAGGCUGUCAGAUGUAUUUAUAGUAACUCUUAUCUAGAAAUAUGUCUCACGAAAGAAAUGCCCUCAUUCAUAGAUAUACUUGAUAGUCUUGAUUCCAGAGCCAAAAAGAGAAUGAAGUUCUAUGUAAUAAUGUGGCAAAAUCUUUGUUUUGUUCAUGUGUUCUAUCUGACGUGAUUUUUCUUGCUACUAACCUUCCUGCUCCUGACAUAUAAACUGCUGUUUGCAGCACUUGGAUAUACGUAGUUGUAUCAAAAUUCCCUUCUUACAACAUGGCUUGCUGCUACUAGGAAUAUUAGAUUGGAAGCACCUACAUUGGACUAGAUUAAUUUGAUUUCUUUGGUAUAGCUUGCUUACUUCGUAAUUGUGAUACUUGUAGUUUGAAAGUAUUUUGUUUCAUCUUUGGUAUGUUAUUCAGUUUUCAGAAUUGAUCUCCAAGUGCUUAUGAUGGUGUUACUGAAUGUUGAUUGAUGGUGUUGGAAACAAUAUAUGGACACUUGCUUGUUUCUUUGAGUUGACACAAGUCCAAUGAGAAUUCUACACCGACAAAAUGAGAGAGGAAUUCAGCCCUAAAGAAAGCAUUGACAGUGAAACCGGCAUAUAUUUUAUCACUUGGUCCUUCUAUCAAUGAAGCAAUGUCAAGAGGUAACGGAUGCAGUGUGGAUAAUGCAGAGUUUGCUAUGGAGACUCUAAAUCAAUUGAACACCUACGCUUGCCCCAGAACUCUUGGUAGCUAAGAGCCUCACACAUGGAUGUCAGUCGGGGCUUCCGUCCCACACCACUCUGUUGGCCACGCCUGCAGCCGUCCCAGCAUCACCCUCCCGCCGUCGUAAACGAUCCGGCAUUGCUGCCCACACCCCUGCUUUGCUGCAUACCACUUCUAUAGCCUGUACAGUGGGGCGGCAAGCAUGCGACUGAAGACGAUCAGUGUAAUCUUACCAAGAUCAUGUGCUUUUUUAUCUCUGGUUCUUGCAAGACGAUUCUUUGCCGUACGUGUCAGGUGACUGAAUCCCGCCGAGUAUUAUUAGGCGGAGGAAGGGACAGAAACAGGGCACGCCACUCUGCAUUUUUGGUCUCGCCGAAAUGACUUCAGUAUCAGCCAGGGGGCUGUGCAUCACUGGGAAUUUUCCAUUUGGAAGGUCCAAUUCCUGACCAUGAUGCUAUAUGAACCGCAACCUGGAACAGUGAAUCCUGAUCGCGAAUGUGCCCGCGGCGCAAGAGAGGAGGGGGCAUCAGCUUGAGUAUAUCCAAGUGGCGGGACAGACAGGCGCGAUGGCAAUGGCAAUGGAAUUGGCCAACAAAUUGCUACUGGUGCUCCAGAGCUACUCGCUGCCAGUUUGGGCCAUGAUAAUCUCGGGGCUCUUCGUCGCCGUAUCACUCUCGCUGUCCAUCUACUUGCUCUUCAACCACCAUCGGCCUACAAGAACCCAGAGGAGCAGAAGUUCCUCGUCGGCGUCGUUCUGAUGGUGCCGAUAUAUGCAAUCGAGUCGGUAAGGUGGCUAUGCCAUGUCUUGUUCAAGUGCGCGGUCACAAUGUUGUUGGCCGGGAGAGGUCGAUCCAGCCGUUAACUCUUGGCGUGGACCAGUAGGUUCAAUUUCAGCUUUUAUGUAAUCUUUGUGUUGAUUUCUUUUGAAUUGCAAAAUCAUUUGCUGAUACUUUUCUCCCCUUUCAGUCAUAAAAUGUAAGGUGACCUUUCACAUUUAGUCCGAUAUUUUGUUCAUACGUUGAUUUUACUUUCGAACCGCCUUUUCUUUUAAGAUUAUCAAAUGAUAUCUUUAACUAUUUUAUAAGGUACAAUUUCAAAUUUAGUCUGAGAUUUUUUUUAUCGUACUUUGAGUUUAGUUAUGUGUUAUAAUUGAUAUAGUUCUUAGCUAAUUUGACAAACAAUGAUGGCUCCAAUGCCUAUGUCGCUUCUUUGCUACAAAAUGUAAAAUGUGAUUUAUCUUUUGCUGAUCUUCGUCAAAGUGUUUUUGUUUAUACAUUGCAGGAACCCAUAAGCCAAUAGUAUUAGGUUUAGAUGGCUUUCCAGGGAUUGAAGUGGUUGGAGCUGCAGGCCGAACUCAAAUUAUUUGUUUUUUCAGUACCAUUUGUUAAUUCAAUUGCAAACAUUGUGCUAAUAGAUAAAGACAUGUCCCAAUCUUCUUGGUCUGCUCACGUAUGGAGGCGAUCUGAAUUAAAGGAAGAACUCUAUGUUGUCUGCUUGAAUCAAUUGUUCAUCUCUACAUUAACGAAUAGAAUCGCAAAGGAAAAAAACAUUCUCUCUCCUCCCACCAGCGGCCUCGAUCUGGGAUCGCCAGGGAUGCCGCUAAAUAUAAUAUCUCAUGGUAUGGAGAAAUACAGAAGAAUUUGUUCAGACUUCAGAAAUGUGUGGUUGAGGAGACAGAAACACACAGCAGACUUCAGAAAUGUUUUCAGAAUCGCAAAGGAAAAAAACAUUCUCUCUCCUCCCACCAGCGGCCUCGAUCUGGGAUCGCCAGGGACGCCGCUAAAUAUAAUAUCUCAUGGUAUGGAGAAAUACAGAAGAAUUUGUUCAGACUUCAGAAAUGUGUGGUUGAGGAGACAGAAACACACAACAGUCUGCACUACACACUUGACAUACAUGCAAAGGUGAAAAUUUCCCUUUUCUUGGUGCUUCUAAUUAUGAUGUCUCAUGGUUAGGAUAAUAAGUAUGUACUUUGUGAUGCAUUUGUUUUGAUACAGUUUGCAUUAUAUAUUAUAGUUAUAUUUUGUCAGAUGACAUUUGUUUUGUUAUUUCUGAUUAGAGCUUGCUGUGUCCAUGUAUAAAUAUUUUUGGGAGCGUACUAUGACAUUUUUGUGCCACGACACAUUUGGUUUAAGUUUUGUAGAGCAAAUAGGUGUAUAUAUCAUGAUAAUCAUUUUCUAAGCAUGUUCAUGAAAAUUACGUUUAUGUUGGAUCAUUCCGAAUUUUACUAACCUUGUCGGUAAUGCAUCUGUGCAUGAUCUUAAUUGUUUGAAUAUUAUCAUUCAACAUGAAUGGGUGGCCUCACAACCAAUAUAUAGUUGUACCCCAGUGGAACAACUUCAUGUUUGUACCAAUCUGGCAUAUUGGCCCAUCUGUACGUGGGAGGUUUUUUGGUGAUAUAAUCAUGCAGGUUAACCAUCCAUGCAAUUGAAGUGACACGUCUAGAUUUUUGGGGAAAAGCUGUUGUAUAUUCCCCGCAUCUGCUCUUCAUUGUCAUAGCUACUUUGCUACCUCCCUGCAAUCUGUAUGAGUUGUGCGGUCUGAAGCUUUGAGUGAGAACACGCCUGAUAUGAUUUACUUCUUUCUGCCCUGAAUUAACAAGAUGCUCAGUAACAUUGUGUUGAAAAAUAAUGCAUGCGAAUGUGGAUGUCAGAUUGUUUUAAGGAUUUGAUUAUGGUAGUUUUACCUAUGACGAUAACAAAAUACAA